AGCAAAUAUCACUAAGGAGGAGGUGCAUCAUGCUGCUCUGAUGACCAGUACUGUUAGACAACCAUGCGUUGUUAAUGAAAUCUUUCUAAAUGAAGAAAGCCAGAAAAUGCUUCUCAAGCCUUCACAAAUAAGACUUGACUACAAACCCAUCACUUCAGUGCAUUUGGUCUUGACCUUUAAAUGUAGCAGUCACAUGAUCCAGGAGAAAGCUGAGGUCUCUAUUCUGCCACCAAACCCUGCCAAAGCUGUGGGUUCAGCUGAAGAGCUACUGCAUGCUUGGUGGAUUGACCGUGGUUACAAAUACCACUUGCAGAUAGCAAAGAUUUCUGCAUCAGAUACACCACCUUAUCACUACCAG
ensembl:lncRNA